UGCAUGAAAAGAGAAUCGGAUAGGGAUGGCAAUUGUGCUUAAUCUUGAAUUGUUUUGCAGGUAGAUGAAAGAAGAUAUUGGGAGACAUUUAAUGAAUAGGAAAAUUAAUCAAAGUAUGAAUAAAUAAAGACAUUGAAAAAUGAUUAUAUGUAAUCACAUGUUAUUAUGCAGAGCCACCUGCUGAAACAAAGACAGGAGACAGGGCCUUUUUUGUAAAGGCGAAAGAUUUAUACGAUCUGAGGAUAAGCCAAAGUUUUUAUCGGUGGUUGCAAGAACAAACGAGCCCUAUAUUCCAAACAAAGUGCUUGAUUAACCUGGAGGGCCGGCUUGAAUGGAAUAAGCCUCAGAGAUGUACACAAAAGCAAGAAUGAGUGGAGGAUCAAUAGAAGCAAAUCAGGAAGGCAGAAAAGCUGAGAUUUUUAAAGAAGAUGGAACAUGCAGACAGCCCCAGUGGACCAGGCCAACAACCCAUCUAGUCCUGUUCUCACAGCAGCCAAUGGCAGAACCUGCCUCACA